rnacentral:rRNA from 1 species
AGAGUUUGAUCCUGGCUCAGAACGAACGCUGGCGGCGUGCCUAAAACAUGCAAGUCGAGCGAGAAAAGGGGCAACCCUGAGUAAAGCGGCGCACGGGUGCAUAACACGUGGGUAAUCUGCCUCGGAGAGUGGGAUAACUAGCCGAAAGGUUAGCUAAUACCGCAUAAGCUUACGACUCCUUCGGGAGCUGUGAGAAAAGGCGGCCUCUGUAUACAAGCUGUCACUCCGAGAUGAGCCCGCGGCCCAUCAGCUAGUUGGCGGUGUAAAAGACCACCAAGGCUAUGACGGGUAGCUGGUCUGAGAGGACGAUCAGCCACACUGGAACUGAGACACGGUCCAGACUCCUACGGGAGGCAGCAGUUGGGAAUAUUGCGCAAUGGGCGAAAGCCUGACGCAGCAACGCCGCGUGAGCGAUGAAGGUCUUCGGAUCGUAAAGCUCUUUCGGCCGGGACGAAAACUCACCGUUUAAUAAGCGGUGACUUGACGGUACCGGAAGAAGAAGCACCGGCUAACUCUGUGCCAGCAGCCGCGGUAAUACAGAGGGUGCAAGCGUUGUUCGGAAUUAUUGGGCGUAAAGCGCGCGUAGGCGGCUUUGUGUGUCGGGUGUGAAAGCCCUCGGCUUAACCGAGGAAGUGCGCCCGAAACUGCAGAGCUUGAGUGCCGGAGAGGAGAGCGGAACACCCGGUGUAGAGGUGAAAUUCGUAGAUAUCGGGUAGAACACCAGUGGCGAAGCGGCUCUCUGGACCGCAACUGACGCUGAGACGCGAAAGCGUGGGGAGCAAACAGGAUAAGAUACCCUGGUAGUCCACGC